rnacentral:rRNA from 1 species
UGGGGUGGCGGUCUCUUUACAUGCAGUCGAACGGUGAAGAGAGCUUGCUCUCUGGAUCAGUGGCGAACGGGUGAGUAACACGUGAGCAAUCUGCCCUUGACUCUGGGAUAAGCGCUGGAAACGGCGUCUAAUACCGGAUACGAGCUGCGAAGGCAUCUUCAGCAGCUGGAAAGAACUUCGGUCAAGGAUGAGCUCGCGGCCUAUCAGCUUGUUGGUGAGGUAAUGGCUCACCAAGGCGUCGACGGGUAGCCGGCCUGAGAGGGUGACCGGCCACACUGGGACUGAGACACGGCCCAGACUCCUACGGGAGGCAGCAGUGGGGAAUAUUGCACAAUGGGCGCAAGCCUGAUGCAGCAACGCCGCGUGAGGGACGACGGCCUUCGGGUUGUAAACCUCUUUUAGCGGGGAAGAAGCGAAAGUGACGGUACCUGCAGAAAAAGCACCGGCUAACUACGUGCCAGCAGCCGCGGUAAUACGUAGGGUGCAAGCGUUAUCCGGAAUUAUUGGGCGUAAAGAGCUCGUAGGCGGUUUGUCACGUCUGCUGUGAAAACUGGAGGCUCAACCUCCAGCCUGCAGUGGGUACGGGCAGACUAGAGUGCGGUAGGGGAGAUUGGAAUUCCUGGUGUAGCGGUGGAAUGCGCAGAUAUCAGGAGGAACACCGAUGGCGAAGGCAGAUCUCUGGGCCGUAACUGACGCUGAGGAGCGAAAGGGUGGGGAGCAAACAGGCUUAGAUACCCUGGUAGUCCACCCCGUAAACGUUGGGAACUAGUUGUGGGGUCCAUUCCACGGAUUCCGUGACG